rnacentral:rRNA from 1 species
GAUGAACGCUGGCGGCGUGCCUAAUACAUGCAAGUCGAGCGAAUGGAUUAAGAGCUUGCUCUUAUGAAGUUAGCGGCGGACGGGUGAGUAACACGUGGGUAACCUGCCCAUAAGACUGGGAUAACUCCGGGAAACCGGGGCUAAUACCGGAUAACAUUUUGAACCGCAUGGUUCGAAAUUGAAAGGCGGCUUCGGCUGUCACUUAUGGAUGGACCCGGGUCGCAUUAGCUAGUUGGUGAGGUAACGGCUAACCAAGGCAACGAUGCGUAGCCGACCUGAGAGGGUGAUCGGCCACACUGGGACUGAGACACGGCCCAGACUCCUACGGGAGGCAGCAGUAGGGAAUCUUCCGCAAUGGACGAAAGUCUGACGGAGCAACGCCGCGUGAGUGAUGAAGGCUUUCGGGUCGUAAAACUCUGUUGUUAGGGAGGAACAAGUGCUAGUUGAAUAAGCUGACACCUUGACGGUACCUAACCAGAAAGCCACGGCUAACUACGUGCCAGCCGCCGCCGUAA